ACGAACGCUGGCGGCGUGCUUAACACAUGCAAGUCGCACGGAAAGGCCCUGCUUUUGUGGGGUGCUCGAGUGGCGAACGGGUGAGUAACACGUGAGUAACCUGCCCUUGACUUUGGGAUAACUUCAGGAAACUGGGGCUAAUACCGGAUAGGAGCUCCUGCUGCAUGGUGGGGGUUGGAAAGUUUCGGCGGUUGGGGAUGGACUCGCGGCUUAUCAGCUUGUUGGUGGGGUAGUGGCUUACCAAGGCUUUGACGGGUAGCCGGCCUGAGAGGGUGACCGGCCACAUUGGGACUGAGAUACGGCCCAGACUCCUACGGGAGGCAGCAGUGGGGAAUAUUGCACAAUGGGCGGAAGCCUGACGCAGCAACGCCGCGUGCGGGAUGACGGCCUUCGGGUUGUAAACCGCUUUCGCCUGUGACGAAGCGUGAGUGACGGUAAUGGGUAAAGAAGCACCGGCUAACUACGUG
rnacentral:rRNA from 1 species